rnacentral:rRNA from 1 species
GAUCCUGGCUCAGAAUCAACGCUGGCGGCGUGCCUAACACAUGCAAGUCGAACGCGAAAGGGGAGCAAUCCCUGAGUAGAGUGGCAAACGGGUGAGUAACACGUGGGUGACCUGCCUUCGAGUGGGGGAUAACGUUCCGAAAGGAACGCUAAUACCGCAUGACAUCCUGUCCUUAGACGGACGGAGAUCAAAGCUAGGGAUCGCAAGACCUGGCGCUUGAAGAGGGGCCCGCGCCUGAUUAGCUAGUUGGUGAGGUAACGGCUCACCAAGGCAACGAUCAGUAUCCGGCCUGAGAGGGCGGACGGACACACUGGGACUGAGACACGGCCCAGACUCCUACGGGAGGCAGCAGUGGGGAAUUGUUCGCAAUGGGCGCAAGCCUGACGACGCAACGCCGCGUGGAGGAUGAAGAUCUUCGGGUCGUAAACUCCUGUCGAGCGGGAAGAACGUUUCGCGGAUGAAUAAGCCGCGAAAGUGACGGUACCGCUAAAGGAAGCCCCGGCUAACUCCGUGCCAGCAGCCGCGGUAAUACGGGGGGGGCAAGCGUUGUUCGGAAUUACUGGGCGUAAAGGGCUCGUAGGUGGCCAACUAAGUCAGACGUGAAAUCCCCAGGCUCAACUUGGGAACUGCGUCUGAUACUGGAUGGCUUGAAUUCGGGAGAGGGAUGCAGAAUUCCAGGUGUAGCGGUGA